rnacentral:rRNA from 1 species
CAGUCGCCGCGGUAAUACGUAGGUGGCAAGCGUUGUCCGGAAUUACUGGGCGUAAAGGGCUCGCAGGCGGUUUCUUAAGUCUGAUGUGAAAGCCCCCGGCUCAACCGGGGAGGGUCAUUGGAAACUGGGAAACUUGAGUGCAGAAGAGGAGAGUGGAAUUCCACGUGUAGCGGUGAAAUGCGUAGAGAUGUGGAGGAACACCAGUGGCGAAGGCGACUCUCUGGUCUGUAACUGACGCUGAGGAGCGAAAGCGUGGGGAGCGAACAGGAUUAGAUACCCCCGUAGUCCCUGUCUCUUAUAC